rnacentral:rRNA from 1 species
GAUCAUGGCUCAGGAUGAACGCUGGCGGCGUGCUUAACACGUGCAAGUCGAACGAAGCACUUCAUAAAGUUUACUUUAAGAAGUGACUUAGUGGCGGACGGGUGAGUAACGCGUGGGUAACCUGCCUUACACAGGGGGAUAACAGUUAGAAAUGACUGCUAAUACCGCAUAAAACAGCAGAGUCGCAUGACUCAACUGUCAAAGAUUUAUCGGUGUAAGAUGGACCCGCGUCUGAUUAGCUGGG